CACUUGCAUUAAAUGCUACCUUCCUUCCCUCUUCUAUUUGUACUUCUUUCAAACAAAUCAUAUCACCUUUAUCACAUUAGAAAAGCUAGCAACUUGGAAGAGGUCACAUCAUGUCAAGAGAAUUUGAUUUCAUCAAGGAUCUGACCAAAGAUAGGGAGAUUUGGAAAAUAGCUGUAAGAGUGGUUGACACUUGGACUGUGAUAGGCACCAAUGGUUUUCCACAUGUUGAAAUGGUUAUUGUUGAUUCAAAGGUUAACAUUGCUUAUACUUUUGUCUAAGUUGCAUAUCUAUCAGUUACAGAAACUAACAUAUUAUCCUUUGAUUUUAUGUGUUUUUAGGGUGAUCGUGUUCAAGCUAUAACUUGUCAUAAGGAAUUUGAACAUUGGAAGGAAUUUGUUGUCUACAAUAAUGUCUAUGUUUUGCAUAACUGUCAUGUUUAUGAUAAUGAUGCAGGUUUUAAAACCUGUGAGAGUCCAUACAAAGUUGUGUUUGGUUCCGGUACCAAGUUCAUGAAAGAUGACUCUAUCACUAACAUUCCUCCUCAUCAUUUUCGCUUCAAAAGUUUUAAGGAAGUUCAGGAUGGAAAGUUUAAAAUCAAUAUUUUGUAUGAGAUCAUUGGCGUUCUUCAUGAAGUUGUCAAAACUCAGACCGCAGCUUCUGGAAAAAAACCUUGCACAAAUUUAAUCUUGGCUAAUGAAAGGUAAAG